GAUGAACGCUGGCGGCGUGCCUAAUACAUGCAAGUCGAGCGAACAGACGAGGAGCUUGCUCCUCUGACGUUAGCGGCGGACGGGUGAGUAACACGUGGAUAACCUACCUAUAAGACUGGGAUAACUUCGGGAAACCGGAGCUAAUACCGGAUAAUAUAUUGAACCGCAUGGUUCAAUAGUGAAAGACGGUUUUGCUGUCACUUAUAGAUGGAUCCGCGCCGCAUUAGCUAGUUGGUAAGGUAACGGCUUACCAAGGCGACGAUGCGUAGCCGACCUGAGGGGGUGACCGGCAAAAUUGGACCGGGGAACCGGCCAAGACCCCUAAGGGAGGCAGAAGUAGGGAAACUUGCGAAAUGGGCGAAAGCCUGACGGAGCAACGCGGCGUGAGUGAUGAAGGUUUUCGGAUCGUAAACCCCUGUUAUUAGGAAAGAGCAAAGGUGUAAGUAACUAUGCACGUCUUGACGGUACCUAAUCAGAAAGCCACGGUUAAUUACGU
rnacentral:rRNA from 1 species